CACGUAGGAGGCAAACGUUAUCCGGAUUUACUGGGCGUAAAGCGCGUGUAGGUGGUGUUGUAAGUAGGGCGUGAAAGCUCCUGGCUCAACUGGGAGAGGCCGUUCUAAACUACAGCACUCGAGUUUGGUAGAGGAAGAUGGAAUUCCAGGUGUAGCGGUAAAAUGCGCAGAUAUCUGGAGGAACACCAGUGGCGAAAGCGGUCUUCUAGACCAAUACUGACACUCAGACGCGAAAGCUAGGGUAGCAAACGGG
rnacentral:rRNA from 1 species